rfam:Lactobacillus brevis subsp. gravesensis ATCC 27305 genomic scaffold SCAFFOLD5, whole genome shotgun sequence.
GUCGCAAUAGCUCAGCUGGAUAGAGCAACGGUCUUCUAAACCGUAGGUCGAGAGUUCGAAUCUCUCUUGCGACA